rnacentral:rRNA from 1 species
AUACGUAGGAUCCGAGCGUUAUCCGGAUUUAUUGGGUUUAAAGGGUGCGCAGGCGGCCAUUUAAGUCAGCGGUUAAAUCGUGGGGCUCAACCCCAUUCUGCCGUUGAUACUGGGUGGCUUGAUUGCGGUCGAGGUUGGCGGAAUUCGUUGUGUAGCGGUGAAAUGCAUAGAUAUGACGAAGAACACCGAUUGCGUAGGCAGCUGACCAGACCGCAAAUGACGCUCAUGCACGAAAGUGCGGGGAUCGAACAGGAUUAGAUACCCUGGUAGUCCGCACAGUAAACGAUGAAUACUUGUUUUCGGCGAUAUAAUGUCGGAGGCAAAGCGAAAGCGAUAAGUAUUCCACCUGGGGAGUACGCCGGCAACGGUGAAACUCAAAUGAAUUGACGGGG